CGCGGUAUAGUGACCGUGCAAAGGUAGCAUAAUCAUUAGUCUUUUAAUUGAAGGCUUGUAUGAAUGGCCGAACGAGGGGUAAACUGUCUCUGCUAAGAAAUUUGAAUUUAACUUUUAAGUGAAAGGGCUUAAAUAGUCUAAAGGGACGAUAAGACCCUAUAAAGCUUCACAUUAAGUCUUUAAAAUUUUAAUUAAGUAAUAAAAUUUUAUUAAAUGCAAUAUGUUUUGUUGGGGCGACAGGAGUAUAAGAAAUUUAACUGCUCUAAAUAAUAAGUCAAAGAUACUUGAAGGGACUUUUUAUUAAAGUGCUAGAUUAAGUUACUUUAGGGAUAACAGCGUGAUUUUUUUCAAGAGUUCUUAUCGACAAAAAAAUUUGCGACCUCGAUGUUGAAUUAAAGAUUCUCUAUGGUGCAGAAAUUAUAGGAGAGAGUCUGUUCGACUCUUAAUUCUUUACAUGAUUUGA
rnacentral:rRNA from 1 species